UACGAAGGGGGGCUAGCGUUGUUCGGAUUUACUGGGCGUAAAGCGCACGUAGGCGGAUCGUUAAGUCGGGGGUGAAAUCCUGGAGCUCAACUCCAGAACUGCCUUCGAUACUGGCGAUCUAGAGUCCGGGAAGAGGUGAGUGGAACUCCUAGUGUAGAGGUGGAAUUCGUAGAUAUUAGGAAGAACACCAGUGGCGAAGGCG
rnacentral:rRNA from 1 species